rnacentral:rRNA from 1 species
GUUACCGUGGUGCAGUAGGCGGCGGGAAUACGUGGGGUGCGAGCGUUAAUCGGAAGUACUUGGCGUAAAGCGUGCGCAGGCGGUGUUGUAAGACAGGCGUGAAAUCCCCGGGCUUAACCUGGGAACUGCGUUUGUGACUGCAAGACUAGAGUACGGCAGAGGGGGGUGGAAUUCCACGUGUAGCAGUGAAAUGCGUAGAGAUGUGGAGGAACACCAAUGGCGAAGGCAGCCCCCUGGGUCGAUACUGACGCUCAUGCACGAAAGCGUGGGUAGCAAACAGGAUUAGAUACCCCAGUAGUC